GACAGAGGGUGCAAACGUUGCUCGGAAUCAUUGGGCGUAAAGCGCGUGUAGGCGGUCCGGUAAGUCUGCUGUGAAAGUCGGGGGCUCAACCCUCGAAUGCCGGUGGAUACUGUCGGGCUAGAGUCCGGAAGAGGCGAGUGGAAUUCCUGGUGUAGCGGUGAAAUGCGCAGAUAUCAGGAGGAACACCGGUGGCGAAGGCGGGACUCUGGGCCGAUACUGACGCUGAGGAGCGAAAGCGUGGGGAGCAAACAGG
rnacentral:rRNA from 1 species